rnacentral:rRNA from 1 species
UUCCCAUCAGCUAGUUGGUGUGGUAAAGGCGCACCAAGGCGACGGCGGGUAAGGGACCUAAGAGGGUGGUCCCUCGCAAUGGCACUGAAACACGGGCCAUACACCUACGGGUGGCAGCAGUAGGGAAUAUUGGGCAAUGGGCGAAAGCCUGACCCAGCAACGCCGCGUGCGCGAAGAAGGCCUUCGGGUCGUAAAGCGCUUUUCUGAGGGAUGAGAAAGGACAGUACCUCAGGAAUAAGCCUCGGCUAACUACGUGCCAGCAGCCGCGGUAAAACGUAGGAGGCAAGCGUUAUCCGGAUUUACUGGGCGUAAAGCGUGUGCAGGCGGUCUGGCAAGUUGGAUGUGAAAGCUCCUGGCUUAACUAGGAGAGGUCGUUCAAAACUACCGGACUAGAGUGUAUCAGAGGGAGAUGGAAUUCCCGGUGUAGUGGUGAAAUGCGUAGAUAUCGGGAGGAACACCAGUGGCGAAAGCGAUCUUCUGGGAUACUACUGACGCUCAGACACGAAAGCUAAGGUAGCGAACGGGAUUAGAGACCCCGGUAGUCUUAGCAGUAAACGAUGUAGACUUGGUGUCGGAGGUGUAAUAGCCUUCGGUAUCGAAGCAAACGCGAUAAGUCUACCGCCUGGGGACUACGGCCGCAAGGUUAAAACUCAAAGGAAUUGACGGGGGCCCGCACAAGCAGCGGAGCGUGUGUUUAAUUCGAUGCUACACGAAGAACCUUACCCAGGUUUGACAUGCAAGUGGUAGUGAAGGGAAACCCGGAACGACCCUUCCGGGAGCUUGUACAGGUGCUGCAUGGCUGUC